rnacentral:rRNA from 1 species
CAGUCGCCGCGGUAAUACGAAGGGUGCAAGCGUUAAUCGGAAUUACUGGGCGUAAAGCGUGCGUAGGCGGUGAGUUAAGUCUGCUGUGAAAUCCCCGGGCUCAACCUGGGAAUGGCAGUGGAUACUGGCUCGCUAGAGUGUGUCAGAGGAUGGUGGAAUUCCCGGUGUAGCGGUGAAAUGCGUAGAGAUCGGGAGGAACAUCAGUGGCGAAAGCGGCCAUCUGGGACAACACUGACGCUGAGGCACGAAAGCGUGGGGAGCAAACAGGAUUAGAUACCCGAGUAGUCCCUGUCUCUUAUAC